CACCUCCCCCUUCCGGGUUUACCUGGCUGCAGGUUCGGCAGACGCUCGGCACUCUCUGCAGGGUUGUGCAAAUUGUUCCACCGUGCAGGUGCUGAGGGCCUCACUGGUGAUCCUGUUUGGUGAUGGUGUCCCUUCGUGUGUAGUGUCUUAUUCACUCCCCUCCUUUGUUUUGCUUUGCCCUUGUGUGUUUGGAGUGUUAAUUUUGGAUUGUGGUGCUCCCAUUUUAAGUUUAUACUUUCACCCCUCACUCACCUUGAGCACAAAUGCCCCAGCCCUGGAAUACAUGAUAAUUUAUACAAAUAGGAUAACUUUUUUAGAUUUGAAUUGUGCCCAAUAAACUGUUGUAUAUGCUUUUGGAAACACGUCUCUCGCCUGCUCAGUGUAACGAACUUGUGUUGUCCUUUUGUUUAGAUUUAGUAAUUUACCUUAUUCAUAGAUUUCUUUCUUUUCCCUGGGUGAUUUCUCCCAGGGUGGCGUUGCUGGUUUCCUUUAGUUUCUUUCUUUUUCCCCUAGUUAAAAACAUAGAUUAUUGGGGUAGUUCCUACCCCACCUCACGCUUGCCACAAACUUGGCGUUGCUGGCAGGACUUAUACUGAAAAAAAAAGGGCAGAGACGUGUGUUCCUUUGUUUUUUGUUGUUUGUUUUUUGUUUUUCUGAAUAAGACAAAGCAGCAGCAGUCCCCUGGCAACCAUGGAGGAAGAAAUGCAAGAGUUGCGAGCUCUGGUUGCGCAGUUAAAGGCUGACAAUGAGAGGUUGCGUCAAGCUUCGUUGGUGCCGCCCUCUAGUGCUACACCUUCAACCUCCUCAGUACUGCCGACUGCCCUUACUUCUGCCAGUGCCCCUGCAGCCGAGAGGUUAGUGUUCGUGCCCCGAGACAGAAAGUGCCCUAUGUUUAGAGGAAGGUCAGGGAUAGCUCUGAGCGAGUGGCUUGAAGAGCUACAGUCGUGUAUGCGGGCUCGUCAUUUAGCCCCAGCUGAUCAGGCCUACUUUCUGUAUGACCAUUUAGAGGGAGAAGCACGGGAGGAAAUUAAAUACCGCCCCAGCACAGAGCGCGGGGAUCCAGCUAGACUAAUCACUAUAUUACAAGAACUCUAUGGCUGUUCUGAGUCGUAUGUGGCCUUGCAGGAAGCAUUCUUCUCUCGUAAGCAACAUGAAGGGGAAACGCUACUCGAAUUUUCGCUCGCUCUCAUGAGCCUUAUGGAAAGGGUGAAGCAGCGUGCACCGCCUGGAAUGCUUAAUACAGAUAGUCUGUUGCGGGAUCAGUUUGUUGAGCAGGUCUUAGACAGCAC
ensembl:lncRNA